rnacentral:rRNA from 1 species
UACGGAGGGAGCAAGCGUUAAUCGGAAUUACUGGGCGUAAAGCGUGCGCAGGCGGUUUUGUAAGUCUGACGUGAAAUCCCCGGGCUCAACCUGGGAAUUGCGUUGGAGACUGCAAGGCUAGAAUCUGGCAGAGGGGGGUAGAAUUCCACGUGUAGCAGUGAAAUGCGUAGAGAUGUGGAGGAACACCGAUGGCGAAGGCAGCCCCCUGGGUCAAGAUUGACGCUCAUGCACGAAAGCGUGGGGAGCAAACAGG